UACGUAGGGUGCGAGCGUUGUCCGGAAUUAUUGGGCGUAAAGAGCUUGUAGGCGGUUUGUCGCGUCUGCUGUGAAAAUCCGGGGCUCAACCCCGGACUUGCAGUGGGUACGGGCAGGCUAGAGUGUGGUAGGGGAGACUGGAAUUCCUGGUGUAGCGGUGAAAUGCGCAGAUAUCAGGAGGAACACCGAUGGCGAAGGCGGGUCUCUGGGCCGAUACUGACGCUGAGGAGCGAAAGCGUGGGGAGCGAACAGG
rnacentral:rRNA from 1 species